CCUACGGGGGGCAGCAGUUGGGAAUCUUGCACAAUGGGGGAAACCCUGAUGCAGCGACGCCGCGUGGAGGAAGAAGGGUCUAGGCUCGUAAACUCCUUUUUCAGGGAAAGACUUAGGACGGUACCCUGAGAAUAAGCUCCGGCUAACUCCGUGCCAGCAGCCGCGGUAAGCCGUAGGGAGCGAGCGUUGUCCGGAUUUACUGGGCUUCAAGAGCACGUAGGCGGUCUGUUAAGUGAGAAGUGAAAUCUCCAGCGCUCAACGCGGAAACGGCUUGUCAUACUGGCAGACUUGAGGGAUGCAGAGGAAAGUAGAAUGCCUGGUGUACCGGUGACAUGGGUUGAUAUCAGGAGGAAUACCAAUGGCGAAGGCAGCUUGCUGGGCAUCAUCUGACGCUGAGGUGCGAAAGCGUGGGUAGCAAACAGGAUUAGAUACCCCUGUAGUC
rnacentral:rRNA from 1 species